rnacentral:miRNA from 1 species
UGCUUCCUUUGUCAGCUGAAUCCUGCCAUCUGGAGCCCCCAGCAGGGCCCUCUGAGGUAGAACAGCAGC